UUCGAUCCCUGGCCUGGCUCAGUGGGUUAAGGAUCUGGUGUUGCCGUGAGCUGUGGUGUAGGUCACAGAUUUGGCUCAGAUCCUGCAUUUCUGUGGCUGUGGUAUAGGCCGGCUGCUACAGCUCCAAUCAGACCCCUAGCCUGGGAACAUAUAUAUGCUGCGGGUACGGCUGUAAAAACAAACAAAAGCCAACAACAACAAUAAAAAAGAAGAGCCUGACCCUGACAACACCCUGACCCCAGACGUCUGACCUCCAGAAUGUGAACACCGUAAAUCCCAUUGGACGUCGUGAGGGGAGCCUAGACAACGAAUGGCAUGGGAUACACUGAUCCUUAACCCACUGAGCAAGGCCAGUGAUUGAACCCGCAACCUCAUGGUUCCUAGUCAGAUUCGUUUCUGCUGCGCCAUGAAGGGAACUACCAAUUCUUUUUUUUUUUUUUAAUUUUUUUUUUCUUCAGGGUUGCAGGUGUGGCAUAUGGGAGUUCCCAGGCUAAGGGUCGAAUCAGAGGUAUAGCUGCCAGCCUAUGUCACAGUUCAUGGCAAUGCAGGAUCCUUAACCCACUGAGCAGGGCCAGGGAUCAAACCCAUAUCUUCAUGGAUACGAGUUGGGUUCAUUUCCACUGAGCCACAAGGGGAAUUCCAAGAGCUAAAAUUCUUGAGCAACUAUUACACUCUGACCCAUAGCCUAAAUCAAAUGUCAUCUACUUGUUAUUGAUGUGGCAUCUGAACCCAACCCAGAGAGGUAAAUAAACCUGCAAAGGCGACACAGUGAGCAUGCUGGAAUCCUGGGCUCGAUCUGUCUCAUGCUCUUUCCAUUUUGUGGCCUCUUCUCAUUACUAAGGAGGCCUCCAGCCAGUUCUAGUUUACAGCCUUUCAUGGGCAUAAGUAGCUGCCUUAAAAAAACAGACAAGGGACUGAUAAAAACAAAUUGCAAAUCAGGUCAUCUGUCGUAACAUGGGAAAAUGUACAAAUGUAGAGAGACGGGAAUGAAGCGGUCAUGGAACACUGUGCAUCCUGCUGCCUAUUUUUGUACAACCAGGGGUACAUGUGUUUUGCACUUAGGGAGAGACUGGAAGCAGACACGAGAAACUGGUAACCGUGGUUCUCUCUGGGGAGGGGUAUGUGGUGCUGGGUUAGGGAGAAGGGGUUUCACUUUUCUGCACAGAUUAACCUCUACUGUCAUUAGAAGGCUUUGCUAGAAGCAUGCACUACCUUUCUAACUAAAAGAACUCGUUGAGAGAGAGGUGAGGAAAGAUUUUCCCCAUAUGGCUGAUUGCAGAACCUUGAAAAUGGGAAGUUCCUUGGUUCCCCUUCACAACCGUAGUGGCCGUGGAGUAAUUGCAUCCUCCUGCGGGUCACCUUGUGGCGUGGGGGUGGGGGUGGGGAAGGAAGAGGCAACACGCCUGUCCCUGGCCUCCCGAGGGUCCUCUGCUAGGCUGACGGUGAGUGUAGCCAUAGCUGCUGCCCUGAAGAUGAGCUGGAGGUGGUCCCCACUGGGGUGUGAAGGCUGCUUCACCGGGGGCUCCAGAGGGCCUUGCAGCACUUCCUGUUUGGGGACCACGUGAAAGUGACAGAGGAAGCUGCGGUUGGGACAGUGAGAGUGCCAUAUGGGGAGGAUACUCUUUGCUCUUUGGGGUGGAACACUCCUGGGAGCACCUGCAAAAGGCUCAGCCAGGUGGGGAUGCACCCCUAUGCUGCCCCAGGUCCCUGGAGACCAUGGAGUAUGCGAGACCUUCACCCUGAUUCCCUGCCCCACCCCAAUAGCCUCCCCCGCCCUCACCGGACCCACCCUUCCCUCUCCCCAGCACUUCUCACACUGCGCUGAAAUGACCUAUUUCUUUGUCCAAUUUCCGGACUGGCCUUUGCAGUUUUUGAAAGCAAAGUCUCUGUUGUACGCACCUUUGCUUUUCUAACACUUAGCGUGGUGCAGGGCUCAUAACAGGCACACCUUAAACUUUAGAUGGAGGGACAGAUGGAUCGAUGGAGCUAGUGCUGUGGAAGCCAAUAUACUCCCAAUCCAGAUACAAAUUCUUCCAGCCCAAACUCUCUCCCACUGCCUAGAUGUGGCCCCCCACAUCAGCCAGCUGUCCAGUGGGUGUGAGCAUACAGCACACUCUAGGAGACAUUGCAUGUCUGUUCUCAUUGGUCUUCCUGAGCGGCUGAAAAGAGAACAGACUUGCAACAAUGAGAAGUCACAGACUGGGAGAAAAUAUUUGCAAAGCACCUACCUGAUAAAGAACCAGUAUCGAAAUAUGUAAAGAACUCUUAAAACUCAAUAGUAAGAAAAAAGAAGACUCAACUUAAUAAGUGGGCAAAGGAUCUAAACCUAUCUCAUCAAAGAAGAUAUACAGGUGGAAAGUAUCAUGUGAAAUGAUGCUCAGCACCAAUGUAAUUAGGGAAUUAUUAAUUAAAAGAGCAAUGAUAAUUAAAUGAAAGAGCACUGUGGUGGUUUGGGUCGCUGCUGUGCCAAAGUUUCCAUCCCUGGCCUGGGAACUUCCAUGUGCUU
rnacentral:lncRNA from 1 species